AUGACUGAGGGCGUCCAUCGCAGCGACGGCCCCCGGCCGCCGGAGGGUCAGAUCCCCGCGCAUCCACAGCCGGUGAUCCAUGCUGACUCCUCAUUGUGCCGCACCUCACCGGCGCCGUCGACGCAGGGGGCAGAUGGGGUUCAAGCAAAUCCGGCGGACGCUGAUCUCGCGAUCCACAAGAGCGCGCAGACAGAGCGCUGGAGAAUUCACUUCGCCGACGAGCGCUCACCUGGCGGCUGGUCCGAGGGUCGUCUUCAACACAAUCCAACGUCUCGGUGGAUGGGGCUUAUCAAUUUGGACAACGAUGUUCUCGUCGGCGAUUACCUGGCGGCCGACGUUUGGAUUACAGUAGGAUCUCGUUUACAUAUUGAUAUUUAUGACAUGCGUGUCGAUUGUCGUAUGCAGGGGGAUCAGAAGGAGGUUGCGGAUCUGAUCGAUUUGACGGAUACACCAAAAGCCGGGAGAUCGGAUCAUCGUUUUGGAGGACGAUUUUGGGUUCUUGCAGACAUCAACGACGAGGAGGAUCAAGGGGCGGAUCAUAGGGGUGGAGGAAGAAGAUGGGGCCGGCAUGAGUCAGAGGAUCACGGAAACAGCGGUGUGUGCGAUGACGACGACGCCGACGGGAUGUUCACCUGGCACCAAUCCUCACCGGAAGAGAGGGUUUCAAAAGAAGCCACAGAUAUGCAUGAAACCGUGGAUUGGACCGAUCCCGAAGAUUAUCUUCAGAGCUACCACAUGGAUCUGUAUGUGGUCCUUACACACUCCUAUGGAAUCUAG
rnacentral:rRNA from 1 species